rnacentral:rRNA from 1 species
GACGAACGCUGGCGGCGUGGAUUAGGCAUGCAAGUCGAACGGUAUCAUCCUUUCGGGGAUGAGAGAGUGGCGAACGGGUGAGUAACACGUAGGUGAUCUACCCUCAAGACGGGGACAACCCAGGGAAACUUGGGCUAAUACCGGAUGUGAGCUAUCGUGAGAUAGUUUGAAAGGUGGCUUCGGCUGCCGCUUGAGGAUGAGCCUGCGUCCUAUUAGCUAGUUGGUGAGGUAACGGCUCACCGAGGCAGUGAUAGGUAGGCGGCCUUAACGGGUGGUCGCCCACACUGGGAUUGAGAUACGGCCCAGACUCCUACGGGAGGCAGCAGUCGAGAAUAGUCUACAAUGGUCGAAAGACUGAUAGUGCGACGCCGCGUGAACGAAGAAGCCCUUCGGGGUGUAAAGUUCUUUUAUAUGUGAGCAGUGACAUCUAUAUUAAUAGUAUGGGUGUAGAGAUAUUAGCAUAUGAAUAAAGCAAACGGCUAAACUCCGUGCC